AGUGAACGCUGGCGGCAGGCCUAACACAUGCAAGUCGAGCGGCCACAUACUGAGAUCUUCCUCUUACGGGUGGCGAGUGCCGGGCGAGUGAGGCAUACAUCGGGAACUACUCUUUCGUAGGUGAUCUCGUACGGGAACUGCCGUUAAUAGCGAAUACGUCCUACCGGAGGAUGCAGGGGAUCCUCGGACCUUGCGUGAUUGAAUGAGCCGAUGCCGGAUCAGCUAGUUGGCGAGGUACAGGAACACGAAGGCGACGAACCGUAGCUGGUCUGAGAGGAUGAUCCGCCACACUGGAACUGAGACACGGUCCAGACUCCUACGGGAGGCAGCAGUGGGGAAUCUUGCGCAAUGGGCGCAAGCCUGAUCCAGCAAUACCGCGUGAGUGAUGAAGGCCUUCGGGUUGUAAAGCCCUGUUGUUGGGAAAGAAAAACAGCUGGUUUAUACCCGGCGGUUCUGACGGUACCCAAAGAAUAAGCACCGGCUAACUUCGUG
rnacentral:rRNA from 1 species